rnacentral:lncRNA from 1 species
UGUAAAAUAUGGAUUUCAAUGAAAUCAAACCAUUUUGGCUGUAGCAUGCAUAAGCAUUUUUAGUUUUAGUUUUCAUCAACUAAAAUUAAAAAUGAACUGGCUAUGCUGCCACUGCCUAUGAAAGAUGGCGCCCAGAUGGUUCAAAAAACAACAGAGCAGUGAGUCACACAGGCAUGCAUCUUAAGUUCUUCUUUGAUCGUUCAACAUUCGAGACAAGCCAAGCGUCGUUUACGUAAUGCUUCCAGAAUAUUCGAACACGUGAAUCAACUAGUGACAAACCACAAAGGUAUCACACGAAGACAAAACGAAAAAAGGUGCAAACAACCAUGUCUCGAAUGAAUUAAGAAUGAUAUAAUCUCUAAUCCUAAAGCCUCAGUUCAGUUUAACUUUGUGGAUGGGGAAACUACAAAAUUGAUAUAGAAUGUUCAGAAAGCUAGGUACUUCUCGCAUAGAAGGGUUGAAUGUGUUAGUGCCAAAGUGGAAGGGAAUGAAACAUACUUGGGUAUCUCAAAGCGGAAAAUAUCCUGUUAAAUACUCAUUAGAUAUGAUGUAUUGGUGAUUUCACAAAACAAUAGUGCUUGAAUCACUAUUUUGUAUAGUUCAAAGAUUAUUACAUGUGCCAGUUUUUAAACUAA